GGCUGGUCCGAGUGCAGUGGUGUCUUACAACUAAUUGAUCACAGCCAGUUACAGAUUUCUUUGUUCCUUCUCCACUCCCACUGCUUCACUUGACUAGCCUUUU
rnacentral:Y_RNA from 12 species